GUUGUUCGGAAUUACUGGGCGUAAAGCGCGCGUAGGCGGAUUAGUCAGUUAGAGGUGAAAUCCCAGGGCUCAACCCUGGAACUGCCUUUAAUACUGCUAGUCUUGAGUUCGAGAGAGGUGAGUGGAAUUCCGAGUGUAGAGGUGAAAUUCGUAGAUAUUCGGAGGAACACCAGUGGCGAAGGCGGCUCACUGGCUCGAUACUGACGCUGAGGUGCGAAAGUGUGGGGAGCAAACAGGAUUAGAUACCCUGGUAGUCCACACCGUAAACGCUGUCUACUAGCUGUUUGUGGAUUUAAUCCGUGAGUAGCGAAGCUAACGCGAUAAGUAGACCGCCUGGGGAGUACGGCCGCAAGGUUAAAACUCAAAUGAAUUGACGGGGGCCCGCACAAGCGGUGGGGCAUGUGGUUUAAUUCGAUGCAACGCGAAGAACCUUACCUACUCUUGACAUACUAGAAACUUUUCAGAGAUGAAUUGGUGCCUUCGGGAAUCUAGAUACAGGUGCUGCAUGGCU
rnacentral:rRNA from 1 species